rnacentral:rRNA from 1 species
AACGAACGCUGGCGGCAUGCCUAAUACAUGCAAGUCGAACGAUCUCUUCGGAGAUAGUGGCGCACGGGUGCGUAACGCGUGGGAAUCUACCCUUGGGUUCGGAAUAACUUCUGGAAACGGAAGCUAAUACCGGAUGAUGACGUAAGUCCAAAGAUUUAUCGCCCAGGGAUGAGCCCGCGUAGGAUUAGCUAGUUGGUGGGGUAAAGGCCUACCAAGGCGACGGUCCUUAGCUGGUCUGAGAGGAUGAUCAGCCACACUGGGACUGAGACACGGCCCAGACUCCUACGGGAGGCAGCAGUAGGGAAUAUUGGACAAUGGGCGCAAGCCUGAUCCAGCAAUGCCGCGUGAGUGAUGAAGGCCUUAGGGUUGUAAAGCUCUUUUACCCGAGAUGAUAAUGACAGUAUCGGGAGAAUAAGCCCCGGCUAACUCCGUGCCAGCAGCCGCAGUAACAC